GCCUAUGUAGCUCAAUGGUUGAGUGCUGACCCAUAAACCAGGAGGUCCUGGUUCAAUUCUAGGUUAGGGCA
rnacentral:tRNA from 1 species